rnacentral:rRNA from 1 species
CCGGGCUGGCCCCUUACCAUGCAUGUCCGAGCGCCCCGCAAGGGGAGCGGCAGACGGGUGAGUAACGCGUGGGAAUCUACCCAUCUCUACGGAACAACUCCGGGAAACUGGAGCUAAUACCGUAUACGUCCUUUUGGAGAAAGAUUUAUCGGAGAUGGAUGAGCCCGCGUUGGAUUAGCUAGUUGGUGGGGUAAUGGCCUACCAAGGCGACGAUCCAUAGCUGGUCUGAGAGGAUGAUCAGCCACACUGGGACUGAGACACGGCCCAGACUCCUACGGGAGGCAGCAGUGGGGAAUAUUGGACAAUGGGCGAAAGCCUGAUCCAGCCAUGCCGCGUGAGUGAUGAAGGCCCUAGGGUUGUAAAGCUCUUUCAACGGUGAAGAUAAUGACGGUAACCGUAGAAGAAGCCCCGGCUAACUUCGUGCCAGCAGCCGCGGUAAUACGAAGGGGGCUAGCGUUGUUCGGAAUUACUGGGCGUAAAGCGCACGUAGGCGGAUACUUAAGUCAGGGGUGAAAUCCCGGGGCUCAACCCCGGAACUGCCUUUGAUACUGGGUAUCUCGAGUCCGGAAGAGGUGAGUGGGAAUUCCGAGGUGUAGAGGUGAAAUUCGUAGAUAUUCGGAGGAACACCAGUGGCGAAGGCGGGCUCACUGGUCCGGUACUGACGCUGAGGUUGCGAAAGCGUGGGGGAGCAAACAGGAUUUAGAUACCCCUGGUAGUCCACGCCGUAAAACGAUGGGAAGCUAGCCGUUGGGCAAGUUUACUUGUCGGGUGGCGCAGCUAACGCAUUUAAGCUUCCCGCCUGGGGAGUACGUCGCAUGAUUAAAACUCAAGGAAAUUGACGGGGGCCCGCCCCAGCGGUUGGAUCAUGUGGUUUAUUUCGAUGCAACGACCAGAACCUUAACAGCCUCUUGACACUUCCGGUCGCGUUUCCAGAAAAUGGUUUCCUUCAGCUCCGCUGGACUGGGUACGAGGGGCUUGCAUGGUUUCGUCCCCCGUGUUGGGAGGAUGUUGGGUAAAGCCCCCCAACGAGCACACACCCCUCCCCCCUGAGGUGCUCUCACUAAGGUGGGUCCCCUUAGAGGCGACUGGCCGGUGAUAACGCCGAAGAGGAAGGGGGGGGAUGAGCUGAC